AUCAAUACAAAACCUAGGAGGAAUUUGGAUACAUUGUUGGAUAGAGAUAACAUGAAAGGUGAUAGUUGAGCAUUUUUUGGUUAUUAUUCAAUUCAAAUGAGUUUUUUCAGAUUACAGUAGACUGAAUAGGUAUAUUAUAAAUUGUUUUAUUGGUCUAGAACUUUAUUUUUGUGUCCAGUUAGUGCAAUUGUCUUGCUAAUUUCAGUAGCUAGCUAACUACUGUACCAGCGCGAGUGUGAAGUUUUCUACACCAGAAUGGUAGAAUGACCAACGCUGCCGAAAAUGUUGUGGACUUUUUUGUUGAAGAACCCCUUUCAUUCUCUGGCGUACACGGAAAAGGUGCGAAUUAAAAGCGAGGGUCGACCGCUGCCUGAGAUCAGUUUCAUGAAGAAAGAUGAAAAGGUGAGCUCGUUCAAUAUCACCUGGUAUCAAAAGUAUAGCUGGUUAACAUGGAGCCUGUAUUACUGGUCUUGCCUGCGUUUUUUGGGCAUGCAAUAAUUUGCUUUUAGAGGACACGACGACGAGAUGGAAAGUUCCGCCGACAAGGAGUUUUGCCAAGAGGUGAUGACUACUCCACUCUACUACCUUUGUCAAAUUUCUCCUGACAUGAACUGAAGCCAUGUCUCAUGUGCCCGCACAUCCACUGGCACAUUGAAUGUUUCCCCUCCAAGUACUUCAAAUCCUGUCCUGUGCUGGUCAAGCCUUUCAACACCUCAACUCAGGCCCUCAUUCAAUCAUUGCUGUGAUCCCUUUCCAACAUUGUAUUGCCCCUCCUGCCAGACAUAGACCAAGGUGAGCCAGCCUCAGCUUCCGAUGGCCCUUCAGGUGAUGGGGACUCAGCACGGGCAUCUGUUUCCAACAAUGUGUCUGUGUCGUAGCUGAUGUGUUUGGAUGAGGGGUGUGAGGUUGCUGGCCAAGUCCAUCCAUACCCGGGAGUACUGUGAAAGGAUUUCCAUUGGGAAUUGUUUAUGCCUGUUUACAACAGCAGGGGUGAGGGAGCACAGCCAUUUGCAUCUCCCCUCAACACUGGAAGAAGACUCCUGUGACAACACUACCAUUUAUACUACUCUCUUUUUUCUUUGUUCUCUUAAACAGGUAUGUGGUAUACACAAGCACAGAACCUAUAGAAAAUGUUAGAGUUGAAAUGGUUAUCUGAGUGAUACUUACUACUUCUGUUGAAAUGGUCAAGUUUAAAUGUGGAAAUUGGUCGAGUGACAAGUGUUCGAUCUUGACAUAAAGAUGACGGUUUACGGCUAAGCAAGGCUAGCCCAUAGAAUAACAUAAGAAAAAUGGCGCCAUAUAAUAUUCUGGUUUAAAUUGUAUUGAUUUAUAGCUCCUCUGAGGUAAUACUGUUGUUUCUUUUCUACUCUGUUUAUAUGAUCUUGACCCUGACAUCUUCCCACCCAAGUGUUAUAUA